UGCCAUGGAGGAUCUGGAAGAAAAGAGUACCCGCCUCUUGAUAGAAUUAGGCCGGAUCGAGAGGGAGAUUAAGAAAAAGCGUGGUCAAUAAAUGUGUUGGUACCUUUUGUUCUAAGGGCUACUUGUACCGUGUCGUCCAUGUACCCUAUUGCUUGUACCGAAUAAUAAAUUGGCUAGACUAAUUGAAUGUUUCAUCCUUAAGGCGAUGUUAUCUUUGCAUCGGCUAUAUAAACACGAGCCAAUAGGAGUUGGCCACAUCAUCUUGAUGCACCUUAUCGUCAGUUAUGCAUCCACCCAUAUACUGGGAUAGUAUCUCUUCAGAUAUCUUCCAUUGAAGGCUCUUGUGAAUUCUUCUUCUUCGAUAGUUUCUAGUAUAUACGCGUUUCCCGGAGCGCAUCGGCCGAUUCUAUACGGCCCUUCCCAAGUAGGUGACCAUUUACCGAACUUAGGAUCCUUAGACACUAUCGGCAGCACCAACUUCCAUACCAAAUCUCCUUGGGAAAAUUGUUUGACCUUGACCUUCUUGUCGUACCACCUGGCC
rnacentral:lncRNA from 1 species